AUUGAACGCUGGCGGCAGGCUUAACACAUGCAAGUCGAGCGGGGGAAGGUAGCUUGCUACUGGACCUAGCGGCGGACGGGUGAGUAAUGCUUAGGAAUCUGCCUAUUAGUGGGGGACAACAUCUCGAAAGGGAUGCUAAUACCGCAUACGUCCUACGGGAGAAAGCAGGGGAUCUUCGGACCUUGCGCUAAUAGAUGAGCCUAAGUCGGAUUAGCUAGUUGGUGGGGUAAAGGCCUACCAAGGCGACGAUCUGUAGCGGGUCUGAGAGGAUGAUCCGCCACACUGGGACUGAGACACGGCCCAGACUCCUACGGGAGGCCGCAGUGGGGAAUAUUGGACAAUGGGGGGAACCCUGAUCUAGCCAUGCCGCGUGUGUGAAGAAGGCCUUAUGGUUGUAAAGCACUUUAAGCGAGGAGGAGGCUACUCUAGUUAAUACCUAGGGAUAGUGGACGUUACUCGCAGAAUAAGCACCGGCUAACUCUGUGCCAGCCGCCGCCGUAA
rnacentral:rRNA from 1 species